rnacentral:pre_miRNA from 1 species
UGAGUAUUCCUUAUUGCAUAGUUUACAUAUAAUUACUAUACAGUCUGGAGCACUUAAA